AGCUCUAAUAGCGUAUAUUAAUACUGUUGCAGUUAAAACGCUCGUAGUUGAACUUAGAAUUAUUACAGAUUGUUUCACUUGAUUGUGAAAUGUCUGCUUAAUUCUUAUCUACUGGAUACUCUACUCUGUACUUAAUUGUAUGGAGUAUCGCCUAGCCAGCGGAGCAAAGGUUCGUAAAUUCCUGACUUUGCACAAAGAAGUAAAAUUCUGACAUGUGAUUUUGGGGGUUAAUUUAUGAAUCUUUGUGGGGUGCCAGUUAAUUUACCUUGAGUAAAUUAGAGUGUUCAAAGCAGCCUCUUGGGGCUUUGAAUAAUUUAGCAUGGGAUAAUGGAAUAAGAUUGGAUUCCUAUUUGUUGGUUUGACGAAUCCAAUAAUGAUUAAGAGGGACAGUUGGGGGCACUCAUAUUAAGUGGUUAGCGGUGAAAUGUGUUGACCCACUUAAGAUGAACUAAAGCGAAAGCAUUUGCCAAGGAUGUUUUCA
rnacentral:rRNA from 1 species